rnacentral:lncRNA from 1 species
ACCUGAUUGAACCAGUCAUGAAAAAUAAGCAAGUGGACUGUCCCAACUGGGCUCUGCUGAGAACUGCUCCUUGUUCUGGGGACUAGAAAGAAGAAGAGGACAUUAAAGACGGUCUUGAGUGGCCCGUCAUCAAGGCGUCUUUCUCAAGUCACAGUCUUCAGGCCACAGGAUGCUCUUGUUCACUAGCAAUGACAAGAAGCUGCUUUUCCGUAGCUGGAUGAUUUCACGUGGCUCUAGCAGUUCAAAUUUUCUAGAAAUGUCAGCCCUCCAAAAUCCCUAUCCUGGACUAGAAGAAAUGCAAAAGCCAGUGCUUCCUCUUCUACCUGGACCGGAUCCACCACAGGUGAGCCUCUCAGUAAUCCUGGCGGCUGCCCAGCCCUGCUACUCUCCGACUCGUCAUCAGUCAUAGGAUGCCUCUUGCCAUCUGACUGCUGAUCUCGGCUCCUUGUCUGUAGUUUGAGCCUUUUCUGCAUCCGUUUCAACAGUGACUCCUCACGACUAAGCCUACUGCCCACAGUCUAACUCUCCCCACCAUCCCUGUUGCUCUAGUCUUUCCAAAGCUUUAAAAAAAU